rnacentral:tRNA from 1 species
GUGGAUAUAGCUCAAUGGUAGAGCAGAUGCCUGGCAUGCAUGAAGUCCUGGGUUCAACCCCCAGCACCUCCA